UACGAAGGGGGCUAGCGUUGUUCGGAAUUACUGGGCGUAAAGCGUGCGCAGGCGGUGAUGUAAGACAGAUGUGAAAUCCCCGGGCUUAACCUGGGAACUGCAUUUGUGACUGCAUAGCUAGAGUACGGUAGAGGGGGAUGGAAUUCCGCGUGUAGCAGUGAAAUGCGUAGAGAUGUGGAGGAAUACCGAUGGCGAAGGCAGCCUCCUGGGCCGAACACUGACGCUCGAUGCACGAAAGCGUGGGGAGCAAACAGG
rnacentral:rRNA from 1 species